GCUCUAUCAAUGUCCUCCUUCUUCUAUGCUUCUGACAUGCAUAUUAGGAAUCUGUGUUGUGACACUUCUGAAAGAGCCGAGCGUGGGAGGCUGGCGAUGUCCUGAGGGGUUUGUGCGCUCCGCAGCUCCCGCGCCAUCUCUCCCAAGAGCUGCCAGGCCCCACAGCCCCUCAGACUCGCUCCGUGCCGGCGGAGAGACCGCUGUGUCAGCCGGCAGCCCCAGGUACUGACAGGCCUGGCCGCAGCUUCCAGCACGGCCCGAGGGCAGAGGCGGGGCCGCUUCCUCAGCCCGAGCGGAGGCGCUCGCCAUGACAGGGGCGGGACGCGGCGUCCGCGCCCGGCCGCCGUGAGGGGGCAAAGCCGCCCCCCCCCCCCCCCCCCCCCCCCCCCCCCCCCCCCCCCCCCCCCCCCCCCCCCC
rnacentral:lncRNA from 12 species